UCAUACUGUAUAACUUUCAUUAUUGUAAAUUUAUGCAUGUCCUCCAAAGAAUUAAAGAGCAAAUUAAACACCAAGAGAAUUGAGAAUUAGUUACCAAACCACAAACACUAACACAAUAUAUAUUGACUUAUAUCAACCAAAAUUUCUUUUUAUAGUAAAUGAUAGAAACCAAUUGAAAUGUACAUUUACCAGAAGUCUUUGAAUAUAUUGGUGUCGGCAGAUUUGACAGUAAGAAGUUUACUCUCAUAACGUGCAGUAUUAUUAUUCUUCAACCAAUUUAGUUCUUUUUUCUUCUUCUUUUUCCUAUGUAAGGUGUUUCAUAUUUCAAUGAAUGUGAGAAAGAGGAUGGAAG
rnacentral:lncRNA from 1 species